UCACUCACGUUCGUAAAGCAGGGCGAUGACUCGACUUUUUUCACAUAGAAGUGGUAGUCGGUGGUUGUUUCGCGGUUCUGCUCAUUAGAGUUUGUGUUGAGAUAUUGCCGAUUGGUUUUUCCUUCGUUGACCGUGAUUUGAUGUGGAUUCUCAGACGAGUGGUGACUGGUGCGACUGGUGGUGGCUUCUCGGACAUCAUGUCGGUAACUAUUUUCUUAAUCUGAGUCACAAGGUCUUGCUGGUGUAAUUAACAACAGUUAAUAAACUGCAGAUUGGUCCUAUCACGGAAAUAUUAAGAGCCCUGGGACUGCGGUUUCUAUCAGGUCAUGGACUGUAAUUCGGCAUGCCUGCGUAUAGAAAUUGAAAGUUGGUACAUGUUCUUCUAGGAUUUGAAAUUUAAGUUUCUCAAGAAAGACUUUCAUCAAGGUUUUGUCUUGAAACUGCUGAAGAAAACUGAAGUUAAUGGAAGAAUGUCUUUUAUAAUAACUGAGUUGUAAUUAAAAAUCUAAUUUUCUAUAUUUCUACCAAACUGUUUCUAAGAAAUAAAACUUUUAAUAGGUAUCACUAUUGCAUUUAUCUUUCAAGUACUAAUUUCAAGAAAUGUUCUAAAAGGUAUCAAACCGGUAUAACAUGGUUUGUGAUAAUUUCUGCCAUAACUACAAUGUAUGGUUGAUUUGCAAUCUAUUCUAUUUUAUGAAAUUCAUCACUUAAUUUUUGCUAAAAUCUG